GAUGAACGCUGGCGGCGUGCCUAAUACAUGCGAGUCGAGCGAACAGACGAGGAGCUUGCUCCUCUGACGUUAGCGGCGGACGGGUGAGUAACACGUGGAUAACCUACCUAUAAGACUGGGAUAACUUCGGGAAACCGGAGCUAAUACCGGAUAAUAUAUUGAACCGCAUGGUUCAAUAGUGAAAGACGGUUUUGCUGUCACUUAUAGAUGGAUCCGCGCCGCAUUAGCUAGUUGGUAAGGUAACGGCUUACCAAGGCGACGAUGCGUAGCCGACCUGAGAGGGUGAUCGGCCACACUGGAACUGAGACACGGUCCAGACUCCUACGGGAGGCAGCAGUAGGGAAUCUUCCGCAAUGGGCGAAAGCCUGACGGAGCAACGCCGCGUGAGUGAUGAAGGUCUUCGGAGCGUAAAACUCUGUUAUUAGGGAAGAACAAAUGUGUAAGUAACUAUGCACGUCUUGACGGUACCUAAUCAGAAAGCCACGGCUAACUACGUG
rnacentral:rRNA from 1 species